ensembl:lncRNA
CCACCAUCACUGCUGGUCAUAGCAAGGUCACAGAAAGACAUGGUCAACUGAAUUAAAUGUGGCAUCUGUCAAAUAUAAAGAAGAAAAUCACAAUCAUCGGUCCUUCCGAAGUCCCCACUUUUUCCCACAAGAAAUGUUGUUCAUUUGGGGUGUUUACAAUGUUUUUAACUUUGCAGCUAGCAAACAAUAUAAUUGUAGGGUCUUGCGCAUUAAUUUGCCUGUACAUUGUUUUGUUUUUCUAAGAGUGAUGGAUUUGGGUCUGAGAUGUGGUUAAGACUGCAACUUUCCAUUAUGCAGCUGUUUCAGAGGGAAAGGUCUGUGUGUUCUGGAAGACCUGGGGAUUAUUUGUAUAUCUGCUUUAUGGGUUUGGGCUCUGUAAUGCUGCCAGUUAGAUGAAACUCUGUGUUUCCUCACUCACUGCUUCCUGCCCCAGCAACAUCCCACAACAUGCCUUUAGGGGGAGGUGGGUAUGAGAACUUUCUAUUAAUGAUGUG